UCCUGGUUAACCCAGGCAGUCUCGUUAGAGUUCCCAACUAAAUGAUGGCAACUAACGAUAAGGGUUGCGCUCGUUGCGGGACUUAACCCAACACCUCACGGCACGAGCUGACGACAGCCAUGCAGCACCUGUGCACAGGCCCCGAGGGGAAAUAUCAUUUCUGAUAUCAUCCUGUGCAUGUCAAGCCUGGGUAAGGUUCUUCGCGUUGCAUCGAAUUAAACCACAUGCUCCACUGCUUGUGCGGGUCCCCGUCAAUUCUUUUGAGUUUCAGCCUUGCGACUGUACUCCCCAGGCGGUAUACUUAACGCGUUCGCUACGGCACAGCCAGGGUUGAGUCCAGCUACACCAAGUAUACAUCGUUUACGGCAAGGACUAC
rnacentral:misc_RNA from 1 species